CCUACGGGAGGCAGCAGUGGGGAAUAUUGCACAAUGGGCGAAAGCCUGAUGCAGCGACGCCGCGUGAGGGAUGACGGCCUUCGGGUCGUAAACCUCUUUCAGCAGGGAAGAAGCGAAAGUGACGGUACCUGCAGAAGAAGCGCCGGCUAACUACGUGCCAGCAGCCGCGGUAAUACGUAGGGCGCAAGCGUUGUCCGGAAUUAUUGGGCGUAAAGAGCUCGUAGGCGGCUUGUCACGUCGGAUGUGAAAGCCCGGGGCUUAACCCCGGGUCUGCAUUCGAUACGGGCUAGCUAGAGUGUGGUAGGGGAGAUCGGAAUUCCUGGUGUAGCGGUGAAAUGCGCAGAUAUCAGGAGGAACACCGGUGGCGAAGGCGGAUCUCUGGGCCAUUACUGACGCUGAGGAGCGAAAGCGUGGGGAGCGAACAGGAUUAGAUACCCUGGUAGUCCACGCCGUAAACGUUGGGAACUAGGUGUUGGCGACAUUCCACGUCGUCGGUGCCGCAGCUAACGCAUUAAGUUCCCCGCCUGGGGAGUACGGCCGCAAGGCUAAAACUCAAAGGAAUUGACGGCUGNGAGNGCGACGACGACACGAGGAGAG
rnacentral:rRNA from 1 species